AGUUUUAAUGGCCGCAGUAUUUUGACUGUGCAAAGGUAGCAUAAUCAUUAGUCUAUUAAUUGUGGACUUGUAUGAAUGGUUGGACGAAAUAUUAACUGUCUCAUAUUUAAUAUUAUAAUUUAAAUUUUGAGUUAAAAUGCUUAAAUUUUAUUAUAGGACGAGAAGACCCUAUAGAUCUUUAUUAUAUUAUGUAUUUAUAUUUUUUGAUUAUUUUUUUUUAAAUUUAUAUUAUUGUUUUGUUGGGGUGACAUGGAGAUAUAAUUAACUCUUUAUUUUAUAUACAUAAAUUUAUGUUUAUUUGACCUUUUAUUAAUGUUAUAAGAUAUAGAUACCUUAGGGAUAACAGCGUAAUUUUAUUUGAGAGUUCAUAUUGACAAUAAAGAUUGCGACCUCGAUGUUGGAUUAAGAAAAAUUUUAGGUGUAGGUGCUUAAAUUAUUAAGUCUGUUCGACUUUUAAAUUCUUACAUGAUCUGAGUUCA
rnacentral:rRNA from 1 species